CCGGGGGCGGGGCCUCUCCCCGGCCCACGGCGCCGUUGGGCGGGGUGGCGCGGCGGGCGGGCCCGGGCCGUCUGGUUUCUUUGCCAAGAUCCUUACAAAACCCACGUGUGGUGUUAACGCCAGAAAGAGCCUGUGGCUUUGCAGGCGGAACAGGGAGUCAGAGGUAGCACUCCUGGUUUUGUUUCUUUGAAGAAGAGUCUGGCAAAGGAUGCCUUGGGUCCCACGCCUCCCCAGAACCAAAUUGGCCUGGAGAAGCAGCAGGGGUAACAAAGCUCGGCUUUUGGAGUUGAACACCAGGCUCCUUCCGGCCAGCCCCGUGCACCCUAACUAGGACUGGGAGGCAACGAGGACAAGAAUUGCUUCUGGAGACUUCCAGGUCGUGUGUGUGUCAUGGGUCCCAAGGCCCUUCCGCCGGCUCCUGCUUCCUCGUGGUUCCCGACGAGCUGCUACUCCUGGGCUCCCAAAGCAGAAGAGAACAAGCCGGAGACUGUGAGACGCGCAACACAGUGUCUUCUCCCUCCGCCGACUAGUCUGAGAAGUUUCUGAAGCUGCAGCAGACAGGAGGUGGUUGAGUCUUCCUUGAGGACAUCAAGAUGCCAGAACAUUCCGCCCAGAGGAGUGGUCCGAGAGCAACAGACUGUGUGUGAUGCUUGGGAAACAGAGAAGCGCCAGUCUCCACUGGAACCGCACAACCUGGCCACUGGCAAGGACGACCCCACCUGUGUGAUCCUGCUGCAACCUGACACCUGAGCGAGCAGGUGAAACCUGUCGCGGAAUUGGGUGACCGCGGAACCACCGUGCAGGGUGGGGCCGGGGCCGGGCCUGGCGGGGGUCCUCUGGCAAGCACACCCUGGGAAGCAGCGAUG